AGGACGAACGCUGGUGGCGUGCUUAACACAUGCAAGUCGAGCGGUAAGGCCUUUCGGGGUACACGAGCGGCGAACGGGUGAGUAACACGUGGGUGAUCUGCCCUGCACUUCGGGAUAAGCCUGGGAAACUGGGUCUAAUACCGGAUAUGACCUCAGGUUGCAUGACUUGGGGUGGAAAGAUUUAUCGGUGCAGGAUGGGCCCGCGGCCUAUCAGCUUGUUGGUGGGGUAAUGGCCUACCAAGGCGACGACGGGUAGCCGACCUGAGAGGGUGACCGGCCACACUGGGACUGAGACACGGCCCAGACUCCUACGGGAGGCAGCAGUGGGGAAUAUGCACAAUGGGCGAAAGCCUGAUGCAGCGACGCCGCGUGAGGAUGACGGCCUUCGGGUGUAAACCUCUUCAGCAGGACGAAGCGCAAGUGACGGUACCUGACAGAAGAAGCAACCGGCUAACUACGUGCCAGCAGCCGAC
rnacentral:rRNA from 1 species